CAGCAGCCGCGGUAAUACGGGAAGGGCAAGCGUUAUCCGGCAUGACUGGGCGUAAAGAGUCCGUAGACUGUAAAGUAAGUUUUUCGUUAAAUUUUAAGACCUAAUCUUAAACUAGCAAUUAAUACUGCUUUACUUGGAGUUUAAUACAGAAAAGUAGAAUUUUAUACGACAGGGGUGAAAUCCGUAGAUAUAUAAAGGAAUGCCAAUAGCGAAGGCAACUUUUUGGUAUAAACUGACGUUGAGGGACGAAAGCGUGGGUAGCAAACAGGAUUAGAGACCCUGGUAGUCCACGCUGUAAAUUCUGAGUGCUGUAAUUUAAUUGUAAUAUAUUUUAGAUAUUACUUAGAUUUUCAAGCUAACGCAAUAAGCACUCCGCCUGAGGAGUACGAUCGCAAGAUUGGAACUCAAAGGAAUUGACGGGGGUCUAACACUAGUGGUGGAGCAUGUGGUUUAAUGUGAUAAUCCGCGCAAAAUCUUACCAAUUCUUGACAUAGCUAAAUUGUUAUACAAAUUAAUUUGGUUUUUCAUGUAUAACAUUUUUUUACAGGUGUUGCACGACUGUCGUCAGCUCGUGUCGUGAGAUGUUUGGUUAAGUCCUGAAACGGGCGCAACUCUUACUUUUAAAAAAGUUUUUACAUAUUAAAAGUUUUUUAAAUCUUUUUAAAUGCUUUAAAAGUACGGUCAACGAUAAGUUGAAGGAAGGUAAGAAUGAAGUCAAGUCAAUGUGACCCUGAUGAAUUGGGCUACACAUGUGCUACAAUGAAAAUUACAAAAAGUAACAAAAAAGAAAUUUUGAGUUAAUCACCAAAAAUUUUCCCAGUUCGAAUUGUAGACUGCAACUCGUCUACA
rnacentral:rRNA from 1 species